rnacentral:rRNA from 1 species
UACGGGGGGGCAAGCGUUGUUCGGAAUUACUGGGCGUAAAGGGCCAGUAGGCGGCCAACUAAGUCCGACGUGAAAUCCCAAGGCUUAACCUUGGAACUGCGUCGGAUACUGGAUGGCUUGAAUUCGGGAGAGGGAUGCAGAAUUCCAGGUGUAGCGGUGAAAUGCGUAGAUAUCCGGAGGAAUACCGGUGGCGAAGGCGGCAUCCUGGACCGACAUUGACGCUGAACGGCGAAAGCUAGGGGAGCAAACGGG